rnacentral:rRNA from 1 species
AUUGAACGCUGGCGGAAUGCUUUACACAUGCAAGUCGAACGGCAGCACGGGUGCUUGCACCUGGUGGCGAGUGGCGAACGGGUGAGUAACAUAUCGGAACGUAUCCAAUAAUGGGGGAUAACUAAUCGAAAGGUUGGCUAAUACCGCAUACGCCCUACGGGGGAAAGCUAGGGACUUUCGGGCCUGGCGUUAAUGGAGCGGCCGAUAUCUGAUUAGCUAGUUGGUGGGGUAAUGGCCUACCAAGGCGACGAUCAGUAGCUGGUCUGAGAGGACGACCAGCCACACUGGAACUGAGACACGGUCCAGACUCCUACGGGAGGCAGCAGUGGGGAAUUUUGGACAAUGGGCGCAAGCCUGAUCCAGCCAUUCCGCGUGAGUGAAGAAGGCCUUCGGGUUGUAAAGCUCUUUCGCAAGGGAAGAAAACUUAUCCUCUAACAUAGGAUGAGGUUGACGGUACCUUGAUAAGAAGCACCGGCUAACUACGUGCCAGCCGCCGCCGUAAGAC